rnacentral:rRNA from 1 species
GACGAACGCUGGCGGCGUGCUUAACACAUGCAAGUCGAGCGAGGCCCCUCCUUCGGGAGGUUUUCUUAGCGGCGAACGGGUGGGUAACACGUGGGCAACCUGCCCUCCGCUCUGGGGUAACCCCGGGAAACCGGGGCUAAUACCUGAUACAACCUCCCCGGGCACCUGCGUAGUUGGAAGGUUUUUGGGCUGAGGAUGGGCCCGCGGCAUAUCAGCUAUUUGUUGGGGUAUUGGCCCCCCAAGGGGACAACGGGUAGCCGGCCUGAGAGGGAGACAGGCCACAAUGGGACUGAGACACGGCCCAGACUCAUACGGGAGGCAGCAGCGGGGAAUAUUGCGCGAUGGGCGGAAGCAGGAAGCAGCGACGCCGCGUGAGGGAAGAAGGCCUGCGGGUUGUAAACCUCUUUAAGCAGGGACGAAGCGAAAGUGACGGUACCUGCAGAAGAAGCACCGGCCAACUACGUG